rnacentral:tRNA from 1 species
GGAUGGGUUCCCGAGCGGCCAAAGGGGGCAGACUGUAAAUCUGUUGUCGACGACUUCGAAGGUUCGAAUCCUUCCCCAUCCA